AAACUUACUUGGCUGGGGGGAUCUCGCGAUCAAGAAGGCGGGACCUCCGUGGUGAGGCCCCCACAUUGCACUUUAGUGGGUGCUGACCCGCGUGGCAGCCUCAGGGUGAGGUUAGCCAACAGCUAAAUUUUUGUGUGUGGGGCCUGCUUAUGCGACCCUGG
rfam:Haemonchus contortus, ISE/inbred ISE, WGS project CAVP01000000 data, contig: Hcontortus_21260